CAGGAGAGAUAUUCUGUAUGAAAAACCGGGUUCGGUUGCUCUCACCAACCCAGCAGGCUCUGUGAUGAUGGCCUGCUCGCUGACACAAGGCUGAACAUCCAAGAGAGCUGGGUUCAUGCCUGGUGUCCUCCACUUGGUUAAGCUAGCUGAACGUUUCGCUGGGUUCUCUGCUCCCUGAUUGGGAGUGAAGCCGCCACUCCAGUUUCGUGCUGGUGAAGUAAAGAAUAAAAAUCUGGGUAUCAUGGAAUCUUUUUUAAAGUUGUUGGCGAAAGAGGGGUAUCUAAGAGAAGGAUACAAGAAAAAUGCUGAUGAUUGAUGAGGGUAAUAUGGGGUUGCUGGGAUGUUAUAUACUUCCCAUGUGGCCAUUGCAUAGAAUCCAUCCGUUGUUGACAAAAAGGCUACGAAUUAAAGUCCGGG
rnacentral:sRNA from 2 species